rnacentral:rRNA from 1 species
UACGAAGGGGCUAGCGUUGCUCGGAAUCACUGGGCGUAAAGGGUGCGUAGGCGGGUUUUUAAGUCAGGGGUGAAAUCCUGGAGCUCAACUCCAGAACUGCCUUUGAUACUGGCGAUCUCGAGUCCGGGAGAGGUGAGUGGAACUGCGAGUGUAGAGGUGAAAUUCGUAGAUAUUCGCAAGAACACCAGUGGCGAAGGCGGCUCACUGGCCCGGUACUGACGCUGAGGUGCGAAAGCGUGGGGAGCAAACAGG